AUUAAGAUGGCUCAACAGGGGCUGGUGAGAUGGCUCAGUGGGUAAGAGCACCCGACUGCUCUUCCGAAGGUCCAGAGUUCAAAUCCCAGCAACCACAUGGUGGCUCACAACCAUCCUUAAUGCAAUCUGAUGCCCUCUUCUGGAGUAUCUGAGGACAGCUACAGUGUACUUAUAUAUAAUAAAUAAAUAAAUCUUAAAAAAAAAAAAAAAAGAUGGCUCAACAGUAAAAGGCACUUGAUGCUAAACUCGAUGAUCUGAGUUUGAUCCCCAGGAUCCACAAGGUGGAAAGAGACCCUGGAAAAUUUGUCCCCUGGCUUACACACACACACACACACACACACACACACACAGAGAGAGAGAGAGAGAGAGAGAGAGAGAGAGAGAGAGAGAGAGAGAGAGAGACUCUUACACAGUCAAGCAUGCACGCAUGCGCACAGAGAACCUGAAAACUAAGCAAACAGGCUGAGGUUCAAAGGUUGUGGGUUCCCAUCAUCUGAUGCCCCACACUGUGAAGUGAGGGGACAGAGGUGACUGAGAAACUAUAUGUGGAGAGGGAAAAGGAAAGUUCAGAAGUGACUGAGCAGUGUGUUCAUUAAGUCCCAAGCCAAGCAGAAAUAAGGGAUGCAUGGCUUAAAUAAAAAUUUAAAAAAUGGAAGUUGCCGGGCAGUGGUGGCUCACGCAUUUAAUCCCAGCACUUGAGAGGCAGAGGCAGGAGGAUUUCUGAGUUCGAGGCCAGCCUGGUCUACAGAGUGAGUUCCAGGACAGUUAAGGCUAUACAGAGAAACCCUGUCUCAAAAAAACAAAAAAUAAAA
rnacentral:lncRNA from 1 species